rnacentral:rRNA from 1 species
UACGUAGGGAGCAAGCGUUGUCCGGAAUCAUUGGGCGUAAAGGGUGCGUAGGCGGGUCUUUAAGUCAGGGGUGAAAUCCUGGAGCUCAACUCCAGAACUGCCUUUGAUACUGAAGAUCUUGAGUUCGGGAGAGGUGAGCGGAACUGCGAGUGUAGAGGUGAAAUUCGUAGAUAUUCGCAAGAACACCAGUGGCGAAGGCGGCUCACUGGCCCGAUACUGACGCUGAGGCACGAAAGCGUGGGGAGCAAACAGG